rnacentral:misc_RNA from 1 species
UUCAACUCCCACCUCGACGCCCGCAGGCUACUCUUUCCCUCCCGCGAAGGGCGCGACAAGCCCCUGACGACCCGCACGAUCCGCUACAUAGUCAAGAAAUACGUUCGCGCCGCCGGCAUAACCAAGGCCAUCUCCCCACACUCCAUCCGCCACACCGUCGGGACUAACAUGGCCAUAAACGAGGCACCACUCCUCGUUAUCCAGCAAUUCCUCGGCCACUCCGACCCCAAAACCACCAUGCGCUACAUCCGCCGCGCCGAAGAACUCACCACCCGCGC